UGUGUGUGUGUUCUGCCCUCUGCGGAGUGGAAGACUAGUGAUUUUGUUGUGAAAAUGAACAAAAACCAACAACAAACCGCAGUCGUCCUCUCAGCACGGGGCCCACACCUGCAGAGCACA
rnacentral:pre_miRNA from 1 species